rnacentral:sRNA from 1 species
GGCCCUACUUACCAUAAUUCAUUCAACGAAUCCAACGCCGCAUCGAUCUUCCCCUCCCAGCACGCCUUGAUCAUCGCCUGCACUUUGACCGGGUGCGGACUGUCGACGACGCGGAAGACGUUUUCGCCGCUCACGAACCCAAAUCCAGCCCACGUGCUCUGCAGGUUGUUGAUGGCCUGCCGCAUAUCACCCUCCGCGCUGAAUAUCAACGCUUCCAGUCCGUCUUCGGAGUAUUUUACCUUCUCCGCCUCGCAGAUCUGUGUGAGCCGCUUGAGGAUCUGCCCAUCCGUCAGGCGCGCGUAGCGCAGGAUCGCGCAGCGGGAUUGCAGUGGUUCGAUGAUUUUGUUCGAUUGGUUGCAGGCGAAGGCGAAGCGCGUUGUUGUGGAGUAAAUUUCCAUGGUUCGCCGGAGGGCUUGCUGCGCGCCGGAUGUCAUGCUGCGAUCGUUUGGGUGAGUAUGUGGGGGAGUGGAUGGGGAGGUGGAAUUGGGAGAGGGCUGUGCGUGUGUAUACCAACCUGUCUGCCUCGUCGAGGAUCACCAAUUUAUGUCGCCCUUGUGGGAGUGUGACUUUUUUCUGCGCGAAGCCUUUUAUUCGGUUCCUAACCACAUCGAUGCCUGCGAAAGCCACGGUGAGUAAACCUGAUCGAUCGAAUCAUUGCAGAGCGAGUAAAAAUUGAGCAGCAGACGCAGUAGCAACAACAGCCACAACAACAAAAAACAAGAGCAGCACACCUCUCUCGUCGCUAGCAUUCAAUUCUAAAACAGCCUCCUUAUAUGAAUCUCCCAGCAUCUGUCGCGCUAGACACAGGAUCGAAGUCGUCUUCCCGAUCCCCGGCAUACCAGAGAUGAUAACAUGCGGCAUGUUGCCAUUGCGCGCAAUGAUUUUCAGCCGCUCAAUGGUCUCUGUGUUUCCGACGAUGUCAUCGAGGAAUACAGGCCGGUACUUCUCUACCCUACACAUCCAUGUGUGAAAUUAAUUAGUACCAAAUUCACCAUUCUCGAUUGAAGAGGACCUUCGCUUUACCAAGGUAACUCGUAGUCUGCGGGAGCCCCCGCGAGAUUCUCUUGCAGGCCUCUUUUGGCCUGAGCUGAAGAUGACUCUGGCUUAUCCAUAAUGAGCUCGUUUGAAAUGUGGAAUAAAUGUUUGAGCGUGCUGAUGUUAUGCUCUCGCUGCUGUCUUGAUGAAACUGCGGAAUCAAUUUGCUUCGACGCGUCGUGUAAAUCACGUGUCUGAUUUCAACAUGGGCUUGGAUUUGCGCCAAGACAUUUGUGCCAAGACAUAAAACGGAACAUCCAACGAUUUACUUUUCGAUGUAGGAUGCAACUUAUCUUCCUACACUAAUAGUAAUACUCUGACAUCCGCGGCGCCGUUAUCGAUCUAAUUACCACGCCCUCAAGAGGGGCCCCUACACUGGCAAGUAUCUCUCUCGCGUUGACAUCUCUCCGACCACACAUGUCUCCGCACCGCAGCAAAGGCGGUGAAUGGACUCGGCUGCUAGUCGAGGCAAGAGUACUAACUAUUAUUUGAGGCGAUCCGCUCUGCACGUAUAGGGACGUGCUAAGAUUAUUUCGAGAAUUGCUUUACUGGGACGGAGCGGAUGCCUCUCGGCCGGUCUAACUGCAGACAGUCUUCUCUCAAAGGAGCGAUGUGGCUACUACACGAUGAAGGUCCUGAGAGAACUCACCUGCUCCGCGCAGAGUUGGUUUGAUUGCCAAAUAGCUGAGUGGAGGCCGAUCAGACAAAAAGCACAACUACUGGAGAGGCAUUGUGCCGAUUAGUGAACUCUAGUCAUCCAGAUAUGAUAGUGUCCAAAGGGACGCUGGUGCAGCUCGCUUGAUAUGCGCGAGUUGUAUAUACCAUGUCAGUCAGCAUUCAGCAUGCUGCUGGCUUCAUGUGUUCAACUAUCCGUGAGGCUUGGAUGACAAUGUGUGUUCUUUGCCCGCGCCUAGAAUGCUACGUCCCUGUCAAUAUUCAUGAGACGCCAAAACAACUCAUGGUGGCAAUCGCUGGCUACACAAUGAUAAAUGGGAGGGACUUGCUCUGGGCACAUUUAUAGAGCGGGAUGGUGACUGCCGUUUCAUACACCUCGUGUUGGAGGCAACACGCAGAAUCACAGUCUUCGCUCAUCAACGGACAAGGCAAUUGAUUGCCGCGGUCCGCAGACAGUCCUAUCAUCUUACGGAAUGUUCGGAUUUCGGGGACUGAGAUCAUAUUACCAGGUUUUCUUGGACUCUCCACAGAUGGGGACCCGAAGCUAAGGGCAUUUGAAAUCCGCUUAAGCAUGUAUGGUCUUCGGAAACACCUACUCCCUCCGUAGAACAUCUAGCACUCCGUGCUGGGUUGUCUGUUCCACAAUCCAUCUCUCAACCAUCCAGCAUCCGCUCUUAAUCAUUCAGUGAUCUCUAUGGGCUAAGCAUUGACGAGAACUCUGAGUGCUCGAAGAAGUGGGGCCGCGUCCAUGCCGGCCUGGGUCCAACAGCUAAUUGAGUGUCUGACAGAAUGGGGUUCGUAUGAUGCUGAAGAAGCCAACGUAGGCAGUCUGCUAACUUCCAGAAAUGAUCCAUAUGAUUAACUGCAUUUUUUCGCUGUCUCAUUAUUUCUCUCAGCUCGCUGGCCGAUCCACCAAUACGCAUCAGGUGUGGAACUGUUGGAAGCACUUCAUGAUGCAAUCACGGCACCUAUCUCUCUCGCAGAGCCACAACGCUGGUGCUGUUGCAAAUAACGAUGCCAAUUAAUACCAACCAGCACUUAGGUGGUCUAAUGCCAAUAUUUUGUUUCCAGAAAGAGAACCCCACUAUGAGAAUAUCAACAUAUUGAAGACUCCGAAACGUAAUUGAAACCCCGAAAAAGUAUUUAAAUCCCCAGCACCACAGGCUUCCCCCGGGCCUCUUCGUCUCUCUUUACUUUUUGCCUUUGCCCGCGCACACACUGCUUGUCUACUACCAUCCACGCCCAAUAUCUCCAACGUAGCAGAACAUGACCGCUACGAUGCCCGAAAGUCUAGAAACCAUCCAGUUCUUAUUAAGAAAAUCUAGAUCAUCUACAUAUGUGUCCGGCAUCUAUGUAUCGUCCCGAACAAGCCACCGGCCUCUCUCUGACAUACACACUCCGAUGGUCGCUUUCCCCUUACAUGUAGCAUCCCAUCGAAUUCCUAUCACUUCAAAGACGCGACUCCUCGGACCUUUGAGCUUUCGCGUUGGACAAUGAGACGGAUACGACGUUCCAGUGCUUUUCGACCUAUUUCAAUUUGAUUUAUUAGAUUGAGCCACCGGUACAAAAUUGGACAUCUCCAUUGUGUCCGUAGGGUAAAAAAAGGAACUUACAUCCUUCUCACAUUCAUACCCCAACAAUUUCGGCGCGAGGCCAGGAUCUCUCCACGCCAACGCCUCCCCUUCCUCGGUGGGCUGCAUGCGCAUCCUGCGAUCCCGCUCCUCCUGCUCCGGCCCGUCGUGCAGGUGAUACAAAUACUGCUGCAAGUUGCUGCGUGAGACAAUCAUCUGCGUCCGCGACUUGCGACACGUUUCGUACACCGCUAGCGCAUGGCGUUUUUGCGCGAGGAAGGCAGGUGACUUUUUGUCGAUGUUGGGCGAGUUGGGGAGGCGGGACAGGCAUUCUCCUAGAACGCAGCCGUCUUCGAAGGACAUGCCGGCGCUGUGGGGGGUGGAUUAGUGUUAGGGAUAUUCUAGGUUAUAUAUAUAUAUAUGUGUGUGUGUGUGGUUUUGGUUCGGGAAUAAGGUGCUACUAGUAAAUCAUAUUUACCCCGAUGCAAGAUAAGGGAGAGUGGCGUGCACUGCGUCCCCGAGCAGAGUCCAUGAGCCUGAUGGAUGAGACCAGUCAUGUUCACCCAGGCGGUAGCAGAGGCGCCAUUUGUAGACGGAUUUGCAAAGCCUAAGGAGUUUCUCGAUUCUAUGGGGUUUACGAGUUAGGAGGAAGAGGAGGUAAAUGUUUUGGAAAAAAUCUCAGGCAAGCAACUUUUGACGCACCUUGGAUCCCAGCCUUUGAAUGCUGCACACAUCUCUUCUAUGUUGCCUUCUACCGUUGAAGCGCCGUCGUCGGGAAUAUCGUCCGGUACUAGGAGAACCAUGUUGAAGAGCUCACCCCCUCGCAGGACAUAGUUCACUAUCCGCAAAGUUACCAUCAUAUAUUCUCAUGAAAGCCAACACAAAUCAUAAGGACCAUGACUUACCUGCAUGCGCGUCGGGGCCCAACCAAUAAUUGACCUGCGGCUCCUCCACAAAUGGCCUCAGCUCCGGAUCCUUCAUCAUCUCCUCCGUCGACAGCAACAAACGAUACGCCAAAUCCCCCGUCUUGGUCGGCGGAUUCGAUCUCCCCAGCAGGAUCUCUGACAGCCGACUAAACACCCCGUCAGCACCGAUCAGCAAAUCCCCCUCCUCCCUCCUCCCAUCCUCCAUAACGGCCGUCACCGUCGCCCCGUCCGCACUCACAACUACAUCCACGACCUUAGAAUUGCACUGCAGCACGCCGCCGAGCUCAAUCGCCCGCUCCAUGAGGCACUUGUGCAGCGACGCGCGGUGGAAAUCGCCAUACCAUGUCCCCGGGAACCGGGACUGGGACUCGUGGAAGUUCAUCGAGGAGAUGAUUUCACCCUUCCAGUGGCGGAAGUUGCACUGGCGCGGCCAUGUGGCGUAUUUAAAUAGCCGCUCCGACAGGCCCCAGGAGGUCAGGACGCGGGAGCUGUUGGGAAGCACUUGGAUGCCGGCGCCCACCUCGCCGAUCUCGUGGGCGGAUUCGAGAACUUUGACGCUGUGGCCGGCGAGGAGACAUGCGAUGGCGGCACCGAGGCCACCGAGGCCGGCACCGACGAUAACGACCUGAGCGGGUUUUUGUUAGAAGGCGAUAUUGUUUGGUUUAUUGGAGGGUUGAAGAGCGAGGGUAGGGAAGGAUAGGAGGGAGUUGGGAUAACGAACCUUUAGUUUACAGGAUUCCUCGCGGUGUUGCACAUGUUUGAUAGGUAUGGGAGACAUGAUUGCACGGAGAUAGGGCGCUACGGGUCUUGGAAAAGAUGUUUUUUUCAAAAACUCCUGUUCACGUUACUCCUAUCAUCCGUUUCUGAGGAUCCGACAAGCCAGCAACCGGAGGGGUGAGAUUCCCCAAUUUUAAAACAAAAAAAAAACACUUGCCACGAUACCUGUGGCCUCCAACGACAAGUAAAACGGGCCUGGCAGGGCAAGUAGAGUUUUAUAUCCGUUGCUUUGGCAAAACUGUAGCUCCUAACGCCGCUUAAGGGAAGAUAAUAUCUUAAAAGCAAAAACCCUCUUUGCUUCCUCUUGUCAGCUUUUUGUUCCCUAACUAAGC